rnacentral:rRNA from 1 species
GUUGACCUCGGAUCAGGUAGGGAUACCCGCUGAACUUAAGCAUAUCAAUAAGCGGAGGAAAAGAAACCAACAGGGAUUGC